GAUGAAGAACGUAGUGAAAUGCGAUAAGUAGUGUGAAUUGCAGAAUUCCGUGAAUCAUCGAAUCUUUGAACGCACAUUGCGCCUUCUGGUAUUCCGGAAGGCAUGCCUGUUCGAGGGUCAUUAACAACCGUUUCGAUCCCUUUCUUUCAGAAAUUACAAAGAGGAAAAGGGUUUGGUUAUGGUGGAGGAGGGAAAGGGAGCGUUUAGCCUGUAAAAAAAGAGGCUGUGUUCCGCCUCCCCCCCAAAAUUGUACAGGCGGUCGUGUGCGCCCACGCAUCGAGGUGUUGUAAAAGCUGCCACGGCACUUUUCACCUGUGCAGUGCGAGAUUGGCCAGCCGGUUUAAAAACCCCUCCAAACAAUCAAAGGUUGACCUCGGAUCAGGUAGGGAUACCCGCUGAACUUAAGCAUAUCAAUAAGCGGAGGA
rnacentral:misc_RNA from 1 species